rnacentral:rRNA from 1 species
AUGAGUGGGGACCGGAUUAUCCUGGUCAAGCUGGUAGUUGGGGACUUAAUUCUCAAUGUUAUCGGCGCAUAUACCUCGCAAGUAGGCCACAACGAGAACACCAAGAUGGAGUUCUGGGAAGGUCUGGAGGACAUGGUUAGGAGUGUACUUAUCGGCGACAAGCUCUUCAUAGGAGAUCUCAAUGGCCACGUGGGUACAUCUAACACGGGUUUUGAAGGGGUGCAUGUGGGCUUUGGCUAUCGCGGCAGGAAUCAAGAAGGACAAGAUGUCCUAAGCUUUGCUCUAGCCUACGAUAUGAUCGAAACUAACACCCUCUUUAGAAAGAAAGAAUCACGUCUACUGACUUUUAGUAGUUGUCGACACUCUAGCCAGAUUGAUUUCGUCCUGUCGAGAAGAGAAGACAGACAUGCUUGCCUAGAUUGUAAGGUGAUACCUGGAGAAAGUUUUGUCCCUCGGCAUAAGCUUGUGGUGGCUAACUUCCGCUUUCGGAUUCGUGGCCAGCAGGAUAAGCAUGCCAAAGUCGCUAGAACAAAGUGGUGGAAGCUCAAGGAGGAGGCAGCUCAGGCUUUAAAGGAGAGGGUCAUUAAGGAGGGCCCUUGGGAGGAAGGAGGUGAUGCAGGCAAUAUGUGGAUGAAGAUGACGAUUUGCAUUUGUAAGGUGGCUUCAAAGGAGUUUGGAGUGUCCAGGGAAAGUAGAAGCGAAGCUAAAGAUACCUAUUAA